UUUUAAAGCAAGAUGACGCAGAAGGAAGUUUGGAAGCUGAAGAUAUUCUGCAACACAGAAAAUGUCCUUAUUUCAUUGUAGUGAAGAGAGAAAAAAAUUAAAUGAACAUACAUUAUCUGGCAUAUACAGGCAUGUUUCACAGUUAAGAGGUUGCAGCCGAAGUUCAAACAUUAAACUUGUAAAGCAAGCAGAAGUACACAUUUGACAUUUGAACUCCAAGUACACAUUGUGCACUGACUCAUGGGAUAGCAUUUAAAAAUGGUAGAAAUGUUUAACAAUGAUGAAUGUUACAGAUUUGAAUCGUCUGCAGACCAUCCUUCCAUAAUUUCUUCGUCGUAGAGAAUAGAAUAACACGUGUAACAUCGAGAACAAGAUGUCAUUGUUAUGUCGAGAGCAACUUUCA